rnacentral:sRNA from 1 species
CCACACCCACCGACGAACUCACGCACGGCAGGAGCGGGGGACCCAGGUAAGUCGCCGGGCCGGGCAUCGCACCGGAACGGCUCGGGGUGAAGCCGUGUCCACCCGAGGGCACGGCCGGGCACUCUCCCCGCCCGAACCCGACAGCUCACCUCGCAGGCGUAGGAGAGGAACC